rfam:Bacteroides nordii CL02T12C05 genomic scaffold supercont1.2, whole genome shotgun sequence.
CUAACUUUGCCCCCGCAUCGGUUCAUCUUCUCCAUGCAUUCGGAGAAGAUGAUUAAAAGGGAAUCAGGUGAGAAUCCUGAACAGUCCCGUUGCUGUAUGUUUCAUUCAAACGUAGUAAACACAUACUUCAUGCCACUGAAAGACUUCAAGUCGAUUGGGAAGGCGUUUACUUACGGAAACGAGUCAGAAGACCUGCCAUGCAUAUUUACUCAAU